GAUAAACGCUGGCGGGCGCACAUAAGACAUGCAAGUCGAACGGACUUAACCAUUAGUUUACUAUUGGAGCGGUUAGUGGCGGACUGGUGAGUAACACGUAAGCAACCUGCCUAUCAGAGGGGAACAACAGUUAGAAAUGACUGCUAAUACCGCAUAUGCCUUGAGUAUCGCAUGGUACAAAAGGGAAAGGAGCAAUCCGCUGAUAGAUGGGCUUGCGUCUGAUUAGAUAGUUGGUGGGGUAACGGCCUACCAAGUCGACGAUCAGUAGCCGGACUGAGAGGUUGAACGGCCACAUUGGGACUGAGAUACGGCCCAG
rnacentral:rRNA from 1 species